rnacentral:rRNA from 1 species
UUAAGCGACUAAGCGUACACGGUGGAUGCCCUGGCAGUCAGAGGCGAUGAAGGACGUGCUAAUCUGCGAAAAGCGUCGGUAAGGUGAUAUGAACCGUUAUAACCGGCGAUGUCCGAAUGGGGAAACCCAGUGUGAUUCGUCACACUAUCGUUAACUGAAUACAUAGGUUAACGAGGCGAACCGGGGGAACUGAAACAUCUAAGUACCCCGAGGAAAAGAAAUCAACCGAGAUUCCCCCAGUAGCGGCGAGCGAACGGGGAGCAGCCCAGAGUCUGAAUCAGCUUGUGUGUUAGUGGAACGGUCUGGAAAGUCCGACGGUACAGGGUGAUAGUCCCGUACACCAAAAUGCACAGGCUGUGAACUCGAAGAGUAGGGCGGGACACGUGGUAUCCUGUCUGAAUAUGGGGGGACCAUCCUCCAAGGCUAAAUACUCCUGACUGACCGAUAGUGAACCAGUACCGUGAGGGAAAGGCGAAAAGAACCCCGGCGAGGGGAGUGAAAAAGAACCUGAAACCGUGUACGUACAAGCAGUGGGAGCACCUUCGGGUGUGACUGCGUACCUUUUGUAUAAUGGGUCAGCGACUUAUAUUCUGUAGCAAGGUUAACCGUAUAGGGGAGCCGCAGGGAAACCGAGUCUUAACUGGGCGUUAAGUUGCAGGGUAUAGACCCGAAACCCGGUGAUCUAGCCAUGGGCAGGUUGAAGGUUGGGUAACACUAACUGGAGGACCGAACCGACUAAUGUUGAAAAAUUAGCGGAUGACUUGUGGCUGGGGGUGAAAGGCCAAUCAAACCGGGAGAUAGCUGGUUCUCCCCGAAAGCUAUUUAGGUAGCGCCUCGUGAACUCAUCUUCGGGGGUAGAGCACUGUUUCGGCUAGGGGGUCAUCCCGACUUACCAACCCGAUGCAAACUACGAAUACCGAAGAAUGUUAUCACGGGAGACACACGGCGGGUGCUAACGUCCGUCGUGAAGAGGGAAACAACCCAGACCGCCAGCUAAGGUCCCAAAGUCAUGGUUAAGUGGGAAACGAUGUGGGAAGGCACAGACAGCCAGGAUGUUGGCUUAGAAGCAGCCAUCAUUUAAAGAAAGCGUAAUAGCUCACUGGUCGAGUCGGCCUGCGCGGAAGAUGUAACGGGGCUAAACCAUGCACCGAAGCUGCGGCAGCGACACUAUGUGUUGUUGGGUAGGGGAGCGUUCUGUAAGCCUGCGAAGGUGUGCUGUGAGGCAUGCUGGAGGUAUCAGAAGUGCGAAUGCUGACAUAAGUAACGAUAAAGCGGGUGAAAAGCCCGCUCGCCGGAAGACCAAGGGUUCCUGUCCAACGUUAAUCGGGGCAGGGUGAGUCGACCCCUAAGGCGAGGCCGAAAGGCGUAGUCGAUGGGAAACAGGUUAAUAUUCCUGUACUUGGUGUUACUGCGAAGGGGGGACGGAGAAGGCUAUGUUAGCCGGGCGACGGUUGUCCCGGUUUAAGCAUGUAGGCUGGUUAUCCAGGCAAAUCCGGAUAAUCAAGGCUGAGGUGUGAUGACGAGGCACUACGGUGCUGAAGUAACAAAUGCCCUGCUUCCAGGAAAAGCCUCUAAGCAUCAGGUAACAUCAAAUCGUACCCCAAACCGACACAGGUGGUCAGGUAGAGAAUACCAAGGCGCUUGAGAGAACUCGGGUGAAGGAACUAGGCAAAAUGGUGCCGUAACUUCGGGAGAAGGCACGCUGGUGUGUAGGUGAAGUCCCUGCGGAUGGAGCUGAGACCAGUCGAAGAUACCAGCUGGCUGCAACUGUUUAUUAAAAACACAGCACUGUGCAAACACGAAAGUGGACGUAUACGGUGUGACGCCUGCCCGGUGCCGGAAGGUUAAUUGAUGGGGUUAUCCGUAAGGAGAAGCUCUUGAUCGAAGCCCCGGUAAACGGCGGCCGUAACUAUAACGGUCCUAAGGUAGCGAAAUUCCUUGUCGGGUAAGUUCCGACCUGCACGAAUGGCGUAAUGAUGGCCAGGCUGUCUCCACCCGAGACUCAGUGAAAUUGAACUCGCUGUGAAGAUGCAGUGUACCCGCGGCAAGACGGAAAGACCCCGUGAACCUUUACUAUAGCUUGACACUGAACAUUGAGCCUUGAUGUGUAGGAUAGGUGGGAGGCUUUGAAGCGUGGACGCCAGUCUGCGUGGAGCCAACCUUGAAAUACCACCCUUUAAUGUUUGAUGUUCUAACGUUGGCCCCUGACCGGGGUUGCGGACAGUGUCUGGUGGGUAGUUUGACUGGGGCGGUCUCCUCCCAAAGCGUAACGGAGGAGCACGAAGGUUAGCUAAUCCUGGUCGGACAUCAGGAGGUUAGUGCAAUGGCAUAAGCUAGCUUGACUGCGAGCGUGACGGCGCGAGCAGGUGCGAAAGCAGGUCAUAGUGAUCCGGUGGUUCUGAAUGGAAGGGCCAUCGCUCAACGGAUAAAAGGUACUCCGGGGAUAACAGGCUGAUACCGCCCAAGAGUUCAUAUCGACGGCGGUGUUUGGCACCUCGAUGUCGGCUCAUCACAUCCUGGGGCUGAAGUAGGUCCCAAGGGUAUGGCUGUUCGCCAUUUAAAGUGGUACGCGAGCUGGGUUUAGAACGUCGUGAGACAGUUCGGUCCCUAUCUGCCGUGGGCGCUGGAGAAUUGAGGGGGGCUGCUCCUAGUACGAGAGGACCGGAGUGGACGCAUCACUGGUGUUCGGGUUGUCAUGCCAAUGGCACUGCCCGGUAGCUAAAUGCGGAAGAGAUAAGUGCUGAAAGCAUCUAAGCACGAAACUUGCCCCGAGAUGAGUUCUCCCUGAGACUAUAAGUCUCCUGAAGGAACGUUAAAGACGAUGACGUUGAUAGGCCGGGUGUGUAAGCGCAGCGAUGCGUUGAGCUAACCGGUACUAAUGAACCGUGAGGCUUAACCUU